AUUGAACGCUGGCGGCAGGCCUAACACAUGCAAGUCGAGCGGAUGAAGGGAGCUUGCUCCUGGAUUCAGCGGCGGACGGGUGAGUAAUGCCUAGGAAUCUGCCUGGUAGUGGGGGAUAACGUCCGGAAACGGGCGCUAAUACCGCAUACGUCCUGAGGGAGAAAGUGGGGGAUCUUCGGACCUCACGCUAUCAGAUGGGCCUAGGUCGGAUUAGCUAGUUGGUGGGGUAAAGGCCUACCAAGGCGACGAUCCGUAACUGGCCUGAGAGGAUGAUCAGUCACACUGGAACUGAGACACGGUCCAGACUCCUACGGGAGGCAGCAGUGGGGAAUAUUGGACAAUGGGCGAAAGCCUGAUCCAGCCAUGCCGCGUGUGUGAAGAAGGUCUUCGGAUUGUAAAGCACUUUAAGUUGGGAGGAAGGGCAGUAAGUUAAUACCUUGCUGUUUUGACGUUACCAACAGAAUAAGCACCGGCUAACUUCGUG
rnacentral:rRNA from 1 species